GACGAACCGUCCAAACGUUAUUCGGAAUUACUGGGCUUAAAGGGUGCGCAGGCGGCGCGGAAAGUUGGGUGUGAAAUCCCUCGGCUCAACCGAGGAACUGCGCCCAAAACUACCGUGCUUGAGGGAGACAGAGGUAAGCGGAACUUAGGGUGGAGCGGUGAAAUGCGUUGAUAUCCUAAGGAACACCAGUGGCGAAAGCGGCGUGCUGGACCUUUUCUGACGCUGAUGCGCGAAAGCCAGGGGAGCAAACGGG
rnacentral:rRNA from 1 species